rnacentral:rRNA from 1 species
CUCAAAUUUGAAAUCUGGCCCUUGGGUCCGAAUUGUAAUUUGUAGAGGAUGAUUUUGGUGCGGUACCUUCCGAGUUCCUUGGAACAGGACGCCUUAGAGGGUGAGAGCCCCGUACGGUUGGAUGCCUAGCCUUUGUAAAUCUCCUUCGACGAGUCGAGUAGUUUGGGAAUGCUGCUCUAAAUGGGAGGUAAAUUUCUUCUAAAGCUAAAUACUGGCCAGAGACCGAUAGCGCACAAGUAGAGUGAUCGAAAGAUGAAAAGCACUUUGAAAAGAGGGUUAAAUAGCACGUGAAAUUGUUGAAAGGGAAGGAUUUAUGACCAGACUUUUUCUGGGCGGAUCAUCCGGUGUUCUCACCGGUGCACUUCGCCCAGUUUAGGCCAGCAUCGGUUUUCGGUGGGGGAUAAAAGCUUUAGGAAUGUGGCUCUUUCGGGAGUGUUAUAGCCUAUUGUAUAAUACCCUACUGGGGACCGAGGUACGCGCUUCUGCAAGGAUGCUGGCGUAAUGGUUAUCAAUCACCCGUCUUGAAACACGGACCAAGGAGUCGAACAUUUGUGCAAGUGUUUGGGUGUUAAACCCUCACGCGUAAUGAAAGUGAACGGAGGUGAGAGCCCUUACGGGUGCAUCAUCGACCGAUCCUGAUGUUUUCGGAUGGAUUUGAGUAAGAGCAUAACUGUUCGGACCCGAAAGAUGGUGAACUAUGCGUGGAUAGGGUGAAGCCAGAGGAAACUCUGGUGGAGGCUCGCAGCGGUUCUGACGUGCAAAUCGAUCGUCAAAUCUGCGCAUGGGGGCGAAAGACUAAU